ACUCAGUGAAAUUGAACUCGCUGUGAAGAUGCAGUGUACCCGCGGCAAGACGGAAAGACCCCGUGAACCUUUACUAUAGCUUGACACUGAACAUUGAGCCUUGAUGUGUAGGAUAGGUGGGAGGCUUUGAAGUGUGGACGCCAGUCUGCAUGGAGCCGACCUUGAAAUACCACCCUUUAAUGUUUGAUGUUCUAACGUUGACCCGUAAUCCGGGUUGCGGACAGUGUCUGGUGGGUAGUUUGACUGGGGCGGUCUCCUCCUAAAGAGUAACGGAGGAGCACGAAGGUUGGCUAAUCCUGGUCGGACAUCAGGAGGUUAGUGCAAUG
rnacentral:rRNA from 1 species